GUGCUUGCUGGAAGUUAUUUCUUCAGCCCACUAACACCUCAACUUGUUUUCCAGAAGUACCUGGGCUCAGGAACAAACUUGAUGGGAAUGAUUUAUGCCUGAGUGAUUUUCCUUUGGAUUCAAGGAUCACAUGUAAAACAGAUAUGUGCUAAUACCUUACAGGUCAUUUCUAGUCUGGGAAGACAUGCAUAAUUUGGGUAAACGGAAUUCCUGGAAUCAAAAUAGUACAUUUUUGUUUUUUCCAUCUUAAAUGAAUGGUAUAACCUUUUAUGAAGAGAUAGCUCACUGUGCAAGAUUACUUGUUACAUAACCAAGAGGACUUGAGUUCAAAUCUCCAGCACCCACCUGAGGAACUGAGUUUUACUGCAGGAAUAUUUAAUCCAUGCACUCUGGUGAGAAAGACUGGGAAGAUUCCUUGAGCUUGAUUGUGCUGUCUUCACUCCAGCUAUAAUAGGAAAGCCUGUCUCAAGGGUGUAAGGAAGGCAUCUUGAGUUGAGAAGUAGGCAUCUAACAUUCUCCCCUGCUCUCUAUGUGUAUAGACGAAUGUUCACAUUCACAUGUGUAUUUAUGUACAGCACACUCUGAUACACACUAUAAAUAAAAAGAGUGAAUAAUAAAUAAAA